rnacentral:rRNA from 1 species
CACGUAGGGUGCGAGCGUUAAUCGGAUUUACUGGGCGUAAAGCGUGCGCAGGCGGCCCGUUAAGACAGGUGUGAAAUCCCUGGGCUCAACCUAGGAAUUGCGCUUGUGACUGGCGGGCUCGAGUACGGUAGAGGGGGGUGGAAUUCCUGGUGUAGCAGUGAAAUGCGUAGAGAUCAGGAGGAACACCGAUGGCGAAGGCAGCCCCCUGGGCCUGUACUGACGCUCAUGCACGAAAGCGUGGGGAGCAAACAGG